rnacentral:lncRNA from 1 species
GUUAGCACCACGGAAUGCUUUCUAACUACCUGUUAAGCAGUAGCCAAAACCCAGGCAACUGUUUUGAAUUUGUCAUGGGUGUUUGGUCCAAGGAGCAACUGUUAUAUGGAGUGGAGUCUAAAGGGCAGGGGAGGCAGAAGUGAGGAGCAUUUGAGAAGAUAAGAAGUUAAAAAAACAUCUAUGGCCAAGUUUGUGUGUGUGUGUGUGUGUGUGUGUGUGUGUGUGUGUAUUUAUGAUUCCAUUUGUGUGACUCAUUUCCCUCCAUGACCAAAUACAGUAUUAGCCAUAGGGAAUCCGCUGCCCACUGAGGAAUUUAAAUGAAUAUGCCCGAGAGUUGGUUUGGCAAAUUUUAAGAGCGAACUUGUCUGGUAUUAGAAUGUGUGCCUCAUCCCUUCUUGGGAAUGGGAGUCAGUCCUGCGGUUUUCAUUUUUAGAUGAAGAAAUCGGAGCCCAGAAAGAUCCAGUUCAUUUGUCCACUGAGUAGCUGUUGCAUACCUGCAAACUUCCAGGAGCUUUCCCAGGCGUGUUCGGACAGCUCUGUCUUCCCCGUCAUCUGUUCUCCCAGUUCAGCAGCCAAGUUCCCAGUCCCCAGUCCCAGAACCUCAUGAUCCGCUCCUUCGGCAGCGCGCUCGUGUUGAUUUCCUUGUUCUUCUUCUGGGUGUCCGUGCAACCACAGCUAUGAGUGGCAGCUCAGUCUACUUUCCUGCUCCAGAGCUUCCCAGCCUCGCUGGGGGAAGUUAAGGAAGGCCGAUUGGUGUCCUUGCAAAUUCUCCCCCAUCUGAGGCCCUUCUGCUGCUCAGGAAUCUUCUUGUGCAUCUUGCGUGGACUAUCUGUCGAGUGUUCCUUCCAUUCUUUUCCCCGCCCCCCAGGAGCUCUGCACCCAGGCCUCACCCGGCACCACGUGGACGGCUCAACUUUCCUGAUGGAGGAGUCUACAUCCUGUGCCUUCCCAUUCGUACCUUCCAUUCCUUCCUUUCCCAUUGUAUUCCUUCCAUCCCGACACCUGGAUCCCACCCCCAGCCCUCCGUGGAGGUCAUCCCUGUUAAUGUCACCCAGAGAUCCCAGGUGAUGGUGCCAAUACAAAGUCUUUCCCUCUGUCGGCAUUUAAAAUGACUGAUCACCUCUUCUGGCUCAGACCGCUACAUUCUUUCUUUAGGGGACCCCACUGAGCCCUGGUUCAGCUCCUUCAUGGUUACUGCACCACGUCCACUGACUGCCCUCCUGAUGGCCAAGAACUGUUGCUUAUUCAUUUUGGGGACUAAACAUUUUACAAAGUGGUCCAUAGAGAUCUUGCAUUAGAAUCACCCAUGAGACUGGUUAAACAUCGAUUCCCCCAAGGCCCACCCUUGAAUUGCUGAAUCAGUUUCCUGUGGAGUGAACCCUUCCGGGUAAUUCUUGUGUAUAUGAACGUUUGAGAAUACAGUUACAGUAUCCAACAACUAUUUGAUGAAUAAAGACAUGAUGAAAAGUACUGAGCUCA